UACGGGGGGGGCAAGCGUUGUUCGGAAUUACUGGGCGUAAAGGGCGCGUAGGCGGCCUGAAAGGUCAGCUGUGAAAACUCGAGGCUCAACCUCGAGACGUCGGUUGAAACCAUCUGGCUAGAGUCCGGAAGAGGAGUGUGGAAUUCCCGGUGUAGCGGUGAAAUGCGCAGAUAUCGGGAAGAACACCCGUGGCGAAGGCGGCACUCUGGGACGGUACUGACGCUGAGACGCGAAAGCGUGGGGAGCGAACAGG
rnacentral:rRNA from 1 species